UACGAAGGGGGCUAGCGUUGUUCGGAAUUACUGGGCGUAAAGCGCGUGUAGGCGGGUCUUUAAGUCAGGGGUGAAAUGCCAAGGCUCAACCUUGGAACUGCCUUUGAUACUGGAGACCUUGAGUCCGGGAGAGGUGAGUGGAAUUGCGAGUGUAGAGGUGAAAUUCGUAGAUAUUCGGAAGAACACCAGUGGCGAAGGCGACUUACUGGACACAUAUUGACACUGAGGUGCGAAAGCGUGGGGAGCAAACAGG
rnacentral:rRNA from 1 species